rnacentral:rRNA from 1 species
GUGAGGAAUAUUGCGCAAUGGAGGCAACUCUGACGCAGCCAUGCCGCGUGCAGGAAGAAGGCGCUACGCGUUGUAAACUGCUUUUAACCGGGAAGAAACCCCAGGACGUGUCCUGGGUUGACGGUACCGGAGGAAUAAGCACCGGCUAACUUCGUGCCAGCAGCCGCGGUAAUACGAAGGGUGCAAGCGUUAUCCGGAUCCAUUGGGUUUAAAGGGUGCGUAGGCGGAGCGUUAAGUCAGUGGUGAAAUCCUGCAGCUUAACUGUAGACUUGCCAUUGGUACUGGCGCUCUUGAGUGCGCUUGAAGUGGGCGGAAUGUGCCGUGUAGCGGUGAAAUGCUUAGAUAUGGCACAGAACACCAAUUGCGAAGGCAGCUCACUAAGGCGAUACUGACGCUGAGGCACGAAAGCGUGGGGAUCGAACAGGAUUAGAUACCCUUGUAGUCC